ACCCUGCAUGCAUCUCUGACCUGCCCUAAUUUCCUUUGGAUAUAAUGUUAUUCUGUCCAGUAACCUCUCUACUACCUUUUGUCACUUUGCAAUUAGUCACAUUUAAAUUUAUAGGAUGAGAUCUUAACAUCCUGAAAUGCUUUGGGAGCUGUUGGGAAUAGGAUUUUCAAAGCUUCCUAUCAAACUUCCUUUGGGGCAGUUUCCUGGCUUGGGGGGCGGUUAGGGAGGAAUCAGUAGAGGGUAGUCUCAGCAGAGCCUGACUCUGCUCCUGGUGACUUUUUUCCUAGUCAGGUCCACUUUGACUAAAUCUGGUUUGGGGGCUUCUCCUUUAAAUUGGGUGCCUGUGUGCUGGUUGUGACUUUCUAGCAGGGAGAUCCUACCUUCCACCGUCAAUACUGUGGUGGGGCUGGAUCAUGAAUCUUCCUUUCCUUGGUUCCCUUCCCCAACAUCCUGGAGGUCAGGCUUUGUCCCACGCAGUGUGGAAAUUUCCCUACCACACACACCUUCUUUUUCUCCUAUGGUGAGGACUGAUUGAGCCACACAUUUCUGUUGCUGAUCGCAACAUUUUUGCUAAAACGUGACCAUUUCUCCCCUGAGCCUUGGAAGUGCCGGAAGAGCUUUGACAGGAUUUCUUCCCCCCGUCCCCCCCAACUCCGCCUUCUUUUGUGUAUUUUGCCCCUUUGGGGGGAUUUGUCUUCAACAGUUAUAAGGGGCUGUCUUUGCAUUUCCUUCUGGUGUUAAAUUAAAAUACGAAUUAAUUUAAAAGUAAUAAAUGAUUAAUUUAAAAUUAAUCAAAUGAUAUUAAAAAUAAAUCAAGUAAUGAUUGAGUUAGGUUAACUUUGCAUAAAAGUGACUAGUCUCCUUGGCAGUAAAGACACCCGGCAAUAGAUCAGAUCAGUUGAUUCAUCCUCACCAGUGUAGCCGGGCAGAGUUUCAGAGCUUAGCAAGGUCUUAUCACCCUGCUCCCCGGGACAAAAUGUUAGUCACCUAAAUAUAUUGUUGCCUCUAACUCUACAUUGCCCCUGUCUACAAUGGGUAGGCAGACACUAGGACCCAGAGGAGCGCAACAUUAGGAGGUAGUGGGAGCACAGAUCCCAGGGUGAAAGCCUGGAACCGAGUCUCUAGAACCAGAAUGGGAAUAACUGCCACUCAUUGCAGACCACGGGGAUUCUGUGAUUUUAGUGUGAAUGAAAGUUAUAAAAUGCACCACUAUAACUUGGCCAUUUUAACACUUUUAUAUUUAUAUGGGCUUUAUUUAUAUUCAACAUGUGAUGUAUUUUGAAGGAAAACAGGUGCAAGUGGUAGCAAGAAUUAUUUUAGACAUGGAUUUAAGACUGAAUGGCUCCAAAUUCUUUGCAUAAUUGAAUUCCCAGGGAUAAGCUUCAAUAUCGUGCAAAUACGCAGCACCCUAGUAAACAGAUGAAAAAAAACACUAGACCCUGAAUGUUUUCGAAGAAUUCCCGUGGGAAAAUCACAAAGGGUAUUAAGUUCUGUGAAUAAUUCUAUUACACAGUUAUGUCACUCAGUGGCUAGAUAAAUAUAAAUUUGCUGAGUGUUUUUGAGGGCGCUUGGUACAGAAGCAGGCACUUAAAAUAAUUAUAAAACAUACAAUUCCUUGUCCAGGAUAAAGAUUUUUUGUAUAGACAAAUGGGCUUAAAAUACCUUGCCAAAAGCUUGAAUUCCUGAGGCCACUGAGAAAGAUUCUGCUUUGUACUUUUAGGGAUCUGCUUAAUGUGAGCCCCUACACAAAUUUUCUUAGUCUUCCAGUAAUUGCCUUUCUGUAUUUUAAGUGAUUUUUUUAAUAAUGGACUUGAUUUUUAAUGUUAGUUUUUAAAGUUUACAUUUCUCUUUUCUUUCUUCUUUUUUAAGGUACAACCCUGACAUUUCCUAUGUUACAGGGCUAAACAUCAGAAAAAAUAAAUAUCUGUAGUAGAAAUUCACUUAGAGUGUUUAAGGAAUCAUGUAAUCAGCGGAGGCCACGUCUGGGUAGUAGUAGAAGUCUUGUGCAUCUGAUGAUUAUAAUUUUAAAUAUCAAUACUUCAACGCUGUUAAGAUUUUAAUAAUUUUUUUGCCAUUUAUUUCAUCGCAAAGUAUUCAGUCAUCCAAAACAACUUCAUCUGCGUGAUCUUUGACCUUUUAUUCUUACUCAAUUAAAGUCUUACAGGGAUUUUUCUUUUUUACAUCUUAAAUGUCAAUGUUGAACCUCCACUGAGAGAAAAGCAAGGCACAGAUUGUCAUCACAUUAUUCAACAUGAUGCUUUUGAUCUUUUGCAGGAAGUUCUUUUUUUCCCUUCAUCCAAAAGCCUGAACAUUUUCUAAAGAAGGGCUACUGCGAAAACCCUGUGCUCACUUGCCAGCUUUCAGAUGAAUGAGAAUGCUAAUGAUUUAGUGAAAAUGGUAAUGGUUUCAAAACUAAAAGGGAAACAAUACUGGAAGAACGACAAAUCUCAGAGAGAGAAGAAAACAAAGCCCAUGAAAGAAAGAAGAAAAGAAAGCAAGAAAGGAAGGAAAAAGGAAAGAAAACAAAGUAAAAAGCUGAAUCCCUUCACAAGAAUUGGUCCUCUUGUCACAAAUGCUGUGCAGAAGUAUGGCAGCAGAAUUCCAGCUGACCUGUCCUCAUGUUGUUCACACAUUGUGAUGCUUGUGAAAGAGUGGACUUCAGGAGGUGCUGGUGAGUUACAGAACUAGAAGAAGAGUUUAGGUGUUAUAUCCCAUUCUUGGAAUAAAGGGGGUCUGUCUUCCAUCAAGAGGAAAAGAAUAUGCAGGGCCACCUACAUCUCUGCAAUGUACUUUCUCUGAGUGGGUUUGCAAAGGAUGAUUCCAUUAAAUGACUGAUUUGAAAUCUUUUGUAUUAGAGUUGUGUUCAGAAUGAUCCAUAACGUGGGGUUCUUUAGAUGGAGAAGAGUAGACUCUACUGCUGGUCCUCUAGAGAGAUUUUUAAAUUAUGGUUCACAGAUGCGCCUGGUGUGUUGUUUGUCCAGGAGAGAAACCAAUACAAAUCUUGAUCCCUUUAGUCCAAAGAAAGAGCCACAUUCGAGGCAACCUGCCCGAGGGCAGGGAGAGUACCUUGGUUUCCAAGUAAUCUCUCAAAGUGGCUAAUCCUAGGGGAGCAUUUGGUAAACAUUAACUGAGGGAAUUAACUGAAAUAAAUAAAACCAUUGUUAAAACACACUUAGAUGUUUUCAUGUGUCAUGGUUCAUAUACCAGUUGAGCCACUAAAGUUUAAUAUUGUUUUGUGUUUACUAUAUAAUGUCAACAAGACCUUGUUUUCAUUGGAGUCAGAAGCUAUGAGUAUCUAAGGAGCUAUUACUGCUUAUAUCCUGUCCUCUAUGGAAGUUAUUUUAUGUAUUUAUUCUGAUUGUACCAGAAUAACUCUCUAAAAACAAAAUAUUGAAACUAAGGAUCUGUUUUACUGCACAACAAAGCAUUGUGUUUGAUUCUUUUUUCCACUAAAAAGUUUUUGAUUAAAUGUCUAUUAAGUCACAUAUUCAGUACAUAAAUAUUAAGAAAAUGAUGCAGAAAUCCAAGCUUACACUUAAGAAACUCUGCUUAAUUCCCACAGGCUCUCUUUUUUCACUGGGAGGAAAGGAAGGAAGAAGAGAAGAGGGAGAGAAAGAGAGAAGGAGAUGGGCAGAGAGGGAGAGAUUUUUCUUUGUUAGGAAAGGAUGUGUUCUGUACUGUAUAAGCACUCCAAUUCAUCCAAAGUCGUCUCAUUAGAACAACUCACUGUAGAGAGAAAUUUGGUAAAAAACCAGCCUGGCUCAAAGGCUCAAAAUAGACUUCUUGUAAUGAUGCUUCAUUGAUAACAUAUUUAGUCACAGAGACCCCUAAGGCUGUAUGACAGUCAGGCUCAGAAGCAUCUUAACUACUAACAUAACAUAAAGUCAACUGAGAGUACUUAGGGUCUAACAGUCUACACACACUGAAUCCAAUGGUUAAGUAGUAAAAAGUCCACACACUAUUUGAAGUUGCUUAAGUCAUGCUCAUUCCUAUACAAGUUACGAGGUAGCCAAAGAAGUAGCUAAGCAUCUUACCAGAGGGCAAAGCAAAAGAAAAGGGGAUCAUUAAGAAAGUAUUAAUGUUUAUUUGAUAAGUGAUCUCCUGGGUUAUACAGUACUUUCUCUUUAUAUAAGUCCUUUGGGAGACCUUUGAAUUGUAGGUGGCAUUUGUAUAUUCCCCAAUGGAAGGAGAAUACGGUCUACUCUAUCCUUUAAAAGACUUUGAAUGUCAAAUGCAGAGCUGCCCCCAAGAGAGGCAAGUAUUGGAUACAUUUGGCCUCUCUCCCAGCACCAGUGUCGCUUCCCUUUUUCAAUCAAGAGAUGGUUGGUA